rnacentral:rRNA from 1 species
AAGGAUUCCCCUAGUAACUGCGAGUGAAGCGGGAAAAGCUCAAAUUUAAAAUCUGGCAGUCUCUGGCUGUCCGAGUUGUAAUCUAGAGAAGUAAUGCCCGUGCUGGACCGUGUAUAAGUCUCCUGGGAUGGGGCGUCAUAGAGGGUGAGAAUCCCGUCUUUGACACGGACUACCAGUGCAUUGUGGUAUGCUCUCAAAGAGUCGAGUUGUUUGGGAAUGCAGCUCAAAAUGGGUGGUAAAUUCCAUCUAAAGCUAAAUAUUGGCGAGAGACCGAUAGCGAACAAGUACCGUGAGGGAAAGAUGAAAAGAACUUUGGAAAGAGAGUUAAACAGUACGUGAAAUUGCUGAAAGGGAAACGCUUGAAGUCAGUCGCGUUGGCCGGGAAUCAGCCUUGCUUCUGCACGGUGUACUUUCUGGUUGACGGGUCAGCAUCAAUUUUGACCGCUGGAAAAAGGCCUGGGGAAUGUGGCAGCUUCGGCUGUGUUAUAGCCCCUAGUCGCAUACAGUGGUUGGGAUUGAGGAACUCAGCACGCCGCAAGGCCGGGUUUCGACCACGUUCGUGCUUAGGAUGCUGGCAUAAUGGCUUUAAGCGACCCGUCUUGAAACACGGACCAAGGAGUCUAACAUGCCUGCGAGUAUUUGGGUGGAAAACCCAAGUGCGUAAUGAAAGUGAAAGUUGAGAUCCCUGUCGCGGGGAGCAUCGACGCCCGGACCAGAACUUUUGGGACGGAUCCGCGGUGGAGCAUGUAUGUUGGGACCCGAAAGAUGGUGAACUAUGCCUGAAUAGGGUGAAGCCAGAGGAAACUCUGGUGGAGGCUCGUAGCGAUUCUGACGUGCAAAUCGAUCGUCAAAUUUGGGUAUAGGGGCGAAAGACUAAUCGAACCAUCUAGU